GAAUGAACUGUUAAAAGCUAGGCUGGAGAGAUCAUAGUAAGGGUGAUCUUUGGCCGGGCUUAGCACCUAGGGUGAGGGAUUUUACAUAGGCAUGGGCCUGGAAGUCUUGGGUCUAACUUGAUCUGCAAAUUCCUGAGCUUGGCUGGGCUCAGAAUCAUCAUCAUAGCCUUAUCCCAACUACAUGGGGUUGGCAGCUACAUGAAUCCUGUUUUGCCAUCCCAUUCUAUUUAAAUGCCAUAUCUGCCUUAUCCCAAUGUUCUAUAGAUAUUCUACAGUAAACAUAUCAUUCAAAUGCAUUCCAAGAUCAGUUAAUGCUAGUGGGUAGAGGCCAGUUGGUUACAUUGGGUGUCCAUCCCACGCUUAAGGGUAAUUGUAUUUUGUUUUUAUAUCAUGCCUUCACUAUUUAUUCUCUUUGAUCCUUAAAGUUUUCUUAUAGAUGUAUAAAAGAACUUCAGCCGCACAGCUCCCUCAGCUUGGUGUAGGUCCACUUCUUGAUAAGAGUGCCUUAGGCGCUCACAGAUAGCGGGACUCCCUCAGAAUCAGGUCCAAUCAUGUUCUGUAACCCUAUGAGUAGUGCCAAUAUUCACAAAGAUCAAAGAUGCUCGUGCCAAUAUUCACAAAGAUCAAAGAUGCUCCUUUUUCCUCCUCUCGCCCUUUUCUGGGUAGUGAGAGGUGGUCUUGUUCUGCCUCAUGCAGGAAAGUUUUGCAAAAUUAGCAAGGUUUGACAAGAGUUGCCAAAUGGUGAAACUGGGAUCGAGGUGGUUGUACUAUUGUGUUUUGUUGGAUGUAGAUCAUCCGAUAUUUGCCAUCUAUGUUAUUUCCAGUCCAAGCAUUCAUUACCCCUGUUGAGGUUACUAAUGCCAUUUGACAACGUACUGUCAUUUGUAAUUGAACUUGUUAUGAUUCCACAUAGGUAUCCCAUUUAUGCUGCACAUUACUUGAAUAAUAUCCUGGUUAUGAAGCUAGGAAGGUGGUAAGAUUCCCUACAUAUUAAUGAUGAAUUGAUGAGCACGCUCAAUGAGAGCGUGCUCAGUGGAUCACCAUUCA